AUUUAGAAAAAAUGGCCCCUCACACUUGCACCACGUGUUUUGCUGAGUCAGGCACACAGAGAAAUAAAAGACAGCUGUCUUCAGCCACAGAGCCAGCUCUCCAGAAACACUCCAACCAUCAACAACAGCGUGUUCCACACUAUCAUCCUCAACAGACAGACUCUGCUCCAGAUUCACCUGAGAGAUCAAUACUACAAGAGAACAUGAGGGCUGUCCUUGUUCUGUAUAUUGCUCUAAUGAUGGCGGCACUAAUGUGUAAUGUCUAUGCAGAUUGUCCUGGGAGAUGUACUCAUAGAUGUCUUCCACGCGAAUCUGCAACGACAGAUUACUUCUGUGGAGGUGGAUACAUAUGCUGUGUUGUCACAAUGUUCGGACGACCUGCUUAAGGGGAAGGAUCUCUGUGAAUACAUUUCUCCUCUCUCUGAAAUGCUGAAGAUAAAUGUUCAUGUGUUUGUAUUCAGCUGUAGCUGUUAAAUAAACUGCCAAAAGAGU